UCGGUCAUAGCAAGACCAAAGCAACAACAAAGGAAGAAAAAGGAAGAACAAACCCUAGGUGGAAAAAUUCAAGGGAAAAGUGUGAAAAUUCAAGGAAACAAGUGAAAAAAGGUAAGAUUUUUUCAAUUAAGCUUAAGAUCUUUCUUAAGCAUUUUUUCUUAUUUUCCAUGGUUGAAUCACAUGAAAGCAUGAUGAAUCCCUUGCUGGCCGAACACUUAGAGUGAGAUUUUGAUGUUUGAGUUGGUUAGAUUUCAAUGUAUUUUAGUGUUUUUAGUUAGUUAGUGAUGUGCAACAUGAAAAGCCAACAAGAAAAAUUCAUUUUCUCCCAUCACCCAUCAUUGGCCGAAUUCUCCAUGUGGAAUAUUGAUGAUGAUUUUGAUUUUAUUUCGAGUGAAUUGGUUAGGAAAUGAUGAAUUAUAGUGAGAAAAUCGAGUUGGAAAAAUCAUAGUGUUGAUGCACUCACCAUGGCCGAAAUUCCCAAGAGAAAAUGUGAAGAUGAUUUUGCCAUAUUUCAAGUUAUUUAAUUUGUGUUUGAUGAUUUGGAAUAUUGGGAGAAAAAUUGAAUUAUUUGGAGUUAAAUUGGACAUAUUGGCCAAUUAAUCGAGUGAUAGAUCGAAUUAGGCCAAUACCGUUUUAUUUAGGUACACAAUUGAAUUUGUGUAGAACACUGUGUUUAGACGAUAAUCCAAACAAAUUGCCUUCUAUUUCAUGCAUUAGUUAAGAGCCUGAAAUAGAUUUAUAAUGGUAUGACACAGUAUAUUGAAUUAUGUGUCGUGUAUUGUAUAUAGGUGGUGAGCCCUCUAACAAGGGUAAAGACGUUGUGUUAGAGGACUGAGAAUAGGAGUAUUUCAAACUCCUGAUACUGUGAGUAACCUUACUAUUGUCUUAAUUAUCUAGAGUGGUUUUUAUCCGAUUUUGUGAUUUUAUGAAAAAUGAGUUUAAAUGGUAAAUCUUUAUGUUUUAUAAACAAAAUGUGAUUAAAUGAAAAUGAUUUUAUAAAAUUGUCUUGAAAUUGAAAGAUGUUUUUGAAAAUGGAGUAAUUGGAGACUAAAUUUUUGCGUUAUAAAUCAUGGUUUGAAUUAAAUGGCUUAUGAUAAUAUUGGCAUGAAUGGUUGAUUUGGUAAAUGUGCUGAAAAUGUAUGAACUGUUGAUUUGCCUUGAGAGGCUGUAAAACAAAAUAAUUGCCAUGUCAUGCUAUUGCAAAUUUUAUUGAAUUGGUGGGUUAUAAAUUAGUCGCUGCAGUGGACGGGUUCUGUGGACCAGCCUAUUAGAGGGGCACGGUAACCCUAUUAUAUUCAUACCUCAGUGAGAGGUGCAGAUGAAUAACUCCUGAGGUUAACACUUUAGAGUUCACUUCACGCCAAACCAUCACGUGAGGGUGAACUCAGCCAACGCCAAGGAAUGGCUAUGCUUUCAAAAUAAAAACAUGAUUUAUGAGUACAUAACUUUUUAAUAGCCUUGGCGGUCUCGGUUGGGAUAGCCCUCAGCCAAGGUAUCCCUGAUUGAGUAUGAGAAUGAUUUUCGCACGAGCCAAAGUUUUAAGAAAUUCAUAAGCCAUGUCGAUUAUUCGAUUUAUAUGAAUUGAUUUUAUUUGGUUGAAACAAGUUGAAAGGUGAUGAAUUACAGUAUGUUAAACUAUUUUAUCUGUCUCCAUUUACUCAGCUUUAGAUAUUUUAGAUGGUAUUUGUUUACUCAUUGGGAUUAUAUAAUCUUACCACCCUCCUUUCCACCCAUUUCAGGCUCUGGAGAGUCGGUAGAUAGCUCAUUUCGUUGAGGGCUACAGUUGGACUUGCAUCCUAAAAAACUGUAGGUUUACCUCUUUUGAUACUUUUGGUCGUUCAUGGGCCCACGUGUCACUGUAAAUUAAAGUUUAUACUUUGGUUAUCUGUAUUACAGUAUGUAUGAAUUUAUUUAGCUUUUACGCUACAAAAAUUAUUUACCGAUAACUCUAUAAAUAUUAUGUUAUAAGAAAAUAGAAUAUUUUAUUGAAUAUUUUUAUUAUAUUCAAAUAGUUAUAAUUUCACUUUAAAUGAAUGUUUUAGAUAUCUAAACUUAUUUUUGAUUAUGAAAUAUGUGUUUUCCACUUGCAUACUACAUUUUUAGCUGGUUUCGAGAUUUUUGAGGAAAAAUGACCAAAAUGCCC
rnacentral:lncRNA from 1 species